rnacentral:precursor_RNA from 1 species
CAGGUCUGGGUGGGUGUCAAGGUGGUCCACUGUCUCCACAAGGUCUCACCUUGGCCCUCUUUCCUGUCCUAGG